AUUGAACGCUGGCGGCAGGCUUAACACAUGCAAGUCGAGCGGAGUGAUGGUGCUUGCACUAUUACUUAGCGGCGGACGGGUGAGUAAUGCUUAGGAAUCUGCCAUUUAGUGGGGGACAACAUUCCGAAAGGAAUGCUAAUACCGCAUACGUCCUACGGGAGAAAGCAGGGGAUCUUCGGACCUUGCGCUAAAUGAUGAGCCUAAGGCGGAUUAGCUAGUUGGUGGGGGAAAGGCCUACCAAGGAGACGAUCUGUAGCGGGUCUGAGAGGAGGAUCCGCCACGCUGGGACUGAGACCCGGCCCAGACUCCUACGGGAGGCAGCAGUGGGUAAUAUUGGACAAUGGGCGGGAGCCUGAUCCAGCCAUGCCGCGUGUGGGAAGAAGCCCUUUUGGUUGUAAAGCACUUUAAGCGAGGAGGAGUCUCUCCUAGUUAAUACCUAGGAAGAGUGGACGUUACUCGCAGAAUAAGCACCGGCUAACUCUGUGCCAGCCGCCGCCGUAA
rnacentral:rRNA from 1 species